rnacentral:rRNA from 1 species
CAGUCGCCACGGGAAUACGGAGGGUGCAAGCGUUAUCCGGAUUUAUUGGGUUUAAAGGGUCCGUAGGCGGAUCUGUAAGUCAGUGGUGAAAUCUCACAGCUUAACUGUGAAACUGCCAUUGAUACUGCAGGUCUUGAGUAAAUUUGAAGUGGCUGGAAUAAGUAGUGUAGCGGUGAAAUGCAUAGAUAUUACUUAGAACACCAAUUGCGAAGGCAGGUCACUAAGAUUUAACUGACGCUGAUGGACGAAAGCGUGGGGAGCGAACAGGAUUAGAUACCCCGGUAGUCCCUGUCUCUUAUAU